rnacentral:rRNA from 1 species
CAAUAGCGUAUAUUAAAGUUGUUGCAGUUAAAAAGCUCGUAGUUGGAUUUCGGGGCAGCCUGGCUGGUCCGCCGCAAGGCGAGUACUGGUCAGCCGCCCUUCCUCUCGAAAGCCCCGACUGCUCUUUAUUGCAGUGGUCGGGUAGUUCGGGACGUUUACUUUGAAGAAAUUAGAGUGUUCAAGGCAGGCCUACGCCUGAAUACAUUAGCAUGGAAUAAUGGAAGAGGACCUCGGUCCUAUUUUGUUGGUUUCCAGGACCGAAGUAAUGAUUAAGAGGGACAGUUGGGGGCAUUCGUAUUUAAUUGUCAGAGGUGAAAUUCUCGGAUUUAUGAAAGACGAACAACUGCGAAAGCAUUUGCCAAGGAUGUUUUCAUUAA